rnacentral:lncRNA from 10 species
CUAGCUGCAGUGGGAGUGGCAACAGCUCACUGGAACAGUCCGCAGGAGAGAAGGUGCCUUUAAAAUCAGAUGCAAAAACCAGCCAGACAAAUAAUAGUGGAUUUAUGGCUCAUUAUUUUUGAAUUUGCCCUUUGUGUACCUUUACACCAGUAGUGAAGAUAAUGGAGUCAGAGAACAGUUGGAGUGGAAUGGCGCCAUCUUGGCUCACUGCAACCUCUGCCUCACCGGUUCAAGUGAUUCUCCUGCCUCAGCCUCCCGAGUAGUUGGAACUACAGGCUUACUCCACUGGGCCUGGCUAAUGUUUGUAUUUUUAGCAGAGAUGGUGUUUCACCAUGUUGGCCAAGAUGGUCUUGAACCCCAGACGUCAGGUGAUCUACCUGCCUCUGCCUCCGAAAGUGCUGGGAUUACAGGCCUGAGCCACCAUGCCCGGCCGAUAUUUCAGGAGUGUAGACUUUACAGUGACCUUCCUGGCAGAUCGAAGAUUGUGAUUACAUAUGCCAUGGACCAGAAGCCUUACCUUUAAAUUUAUAUGUUUAAAAACAUAAAAGAGUUCAAGGCAGCAACUUAGAUUGGGCACAAAAUGUCUUACUACUUAAAAAACUUUGAUUAUACUUAGGAGAAACAGGACAGGUAUUUCAUAUUCCUAUUCUGUGUGUUAUCAUGAGCCUUUCUAAAAGGCUGAAUUAUCAUUUUGUCCUACACACACAUUCAACAUUGAAAUAACGUAAACAACAAUAGCGGCAUUGGCUAAAUUUUUAUAUUGUGUGAGGCACUGUAUUUAUAUGAUCUCUUCUGAGUCUUAUAUGAGCACUUAUAUGAUCUCUUCUGAGUCUUUAAAUAGUUUUGUGUUCAUGAUUUCCACUUUACAAAUCAGGAUGAGUAGGUUUAAGUUUUAAGUUAGUAAUCUAAUUUAGCAAGCAACAGAAUUAGGAUGUGCAAAUACUACAAAUCCAUAUUUAGAAUGUAGCUGACCAAGAAUAUCAGCACAGACCAAGGAACCCAGAGUCAAGCACUUAGUGCUCGUCUAUAUUCUUUUGGGUCAGAGUGAAAAAACAAGUCUCGAUUUCUCUUCCAGAAACCACAUAAUGCCAGGCACAAAAUGUUGGUUUCACUUUCAUGAAACAUGUGAAGAAAAAUUACAGUAGAACAAGACAUAAGUUAAGUAUCUGGGAAUGGCUCAUUAAAGCUAAUGAUAAUUUAUAUUUCUAUGGUGUUUUAUAGGUUCAAAGGAUUGUCAUAGUAAUUAUCUGAUUAUUUUAAUUUUUAAAUUUUAUUUUGAAGUAAUUAUAGAUUCACAAGACUAUGCAAAGAUGAUGGACAAUUUUCAUUUUUUACAAUAUUUCUACUUAAAUAUAAUGAUCAUAUAAUCAUCACCAAUUAAUCUUAAUCCCUCAGAGUUUGGUCUCUGAAAUCCUUGUCUGGGUGGAAAUCUUAGCUUCAGUAUUUGUUAGCUGAUUGAGCUUGGAAAAAUUAUUUAACUUCCAUAUUCUUUAGUGUCCUCAUCACUAUGGAAAUAACAAUAGUGUGUAUAUCCUAAAAUUUUUAUGAGAACUUUACAAGUUUAACACAGUGUUUAGUACAUAUAAAGAACUCAACACAGUGUUUAGAACACAUGCUGUCAUAAGCUUUCAAUACAGUUGUUAUAUUAUUACAGAUAUUACUACUUCUUAUUAUGGAUAAUAUUACUUCAUUCAGAUCCAAUAAUCCAAUUAUUUUGUUGUUCUCUUUGAGACCCUUUCUGGUUUCUCCAAUAUUUCACUGAACUCUGGUAUUCAAUAUAGCCAAUCAGUUCAAGAUCUAGCCAGUACCAAAUAUAGAUUUGUAUUACUAUCUUUUGAAGAAGUUACAAAAUUAUCUGCAGUAAAGUAAUAGUGCUAUCAUUCAUUCGUUCACUCAUUCAAACACGUUUAGAUGAUGUUUUUUCUUCUAUUGUUCACCAACUGUUUGAUCUAUUUCCAAAUUCUCAUAGACAUUUUUCUUCUCUUUUGAAGACUGGAAAUCAUAAAAAAAACUGUCCAUAACAGCUGCUUUGAGGUCAUCUACAUUUGUUGGCUGCAGGUGGAAAUCUCCUUCACACAGCCUGAAAUAGAAGGUUGUAAAAUUUGGCCUUUGAGGGAGCCAGACCAAACCAGCCUUUUGUAUAAUUUAUCAUCCACAGAACAUGUUAAGGUGCUUUUGAUCUUUGAAGGCAAUAUCUUUCAAAGUGCUGUGGUGCUUAUGUGUGACCAUUGGUCCUUUUUGGGAGUCCCAAUAUCUUGCUGAUUUCAAUAGUGAGUGAAGGAAUUUUUAAGAUGCUACACUGAUGACUCAGUUUAAUAGAGAGACUCUAGAACUUGCUGAAAUCCAAUUGUGAAGAUCAAGUGAGAUAAAGUAUGUGAAUGGUGCCUUGAAACCAAUAAAGCACUAAGUAAACCUAAAG